AAAUUGAAGAGUUUGAUCAUGGCUCAGAUUGAACGCUGGCGGCAGGCCUAACACAUGCAAGUCGAACGGUAACAGGAAGCAGCUUGCUGCUUCGCUGACGAGUGGCGGACGGGUGAGUAAUGUCUGGGAAACUGCCUGAUGGAGGGGGAUAACUACUGGAAACGGUGGCUAAUACCGCAUAACGUCGCAAGACUAAAGAGGGGGACCUUCGGGCCUCUUGCCAUCAGAUGUGCCCAGAUGGGAUUAGCUUGUUGGUGAGGUAACGGCUCACCAAGGCGACGAUCCCUAGCUGGUCUGAGAGGAUGACCAGCCACACUGGAACUGAGACACGGUCCAGACUCCUACGGGAGGCAGCAGUGGGGAAUAUUGCACAAUGGGCGCAAGCCUGAUGCAGCCAUGCCGCGUGUAUGAAGAAGGCCUUCGGGUUGUAAAGUACUUUCAGCGGGGAGGAAGGUGUUGUGGUUAAUAACCGCAGCAAUUGACGUUACCCGCAGAAGAAGCACCGGCUAACUCCGUGCCAGCAGCCGCGGUAAUACGGAGGGUGCAAGCGUUAAUCGGAAUUACUGGGCGUAAAGCGCACGCAGGCGGUCUGUCAAGUCGGAUGUGAAAUCCCCGGGCUCAACCUGGGAACUGCAUUCGAAACUGGCAGGCUUGAGUCUUGUAGAGGGGGGUAGAAUUCCAGGUGUAGCGGUGAAAUGCGUAGAGAUCUGGAGGAAUACCGGUGGCGAAGGCGGCCCCCUGGACAAAGACUGACGCUCAGGUGCGAAAGCGUGGGGAGCAAACAGGAUUAGAUACCCUGGUAGUCCACGCCGUAAACGAUGUCUACUUGGAGGUUGUGCCCUUGAGGCGUGGCUUCCGGAGCUAACGCGUUAAGUAGACCGCCUGGGGAGUACGGCCGCAAGGUUAAAACUCAAAUGAAUUGACGGGGGCCCGCACAAGCGGUGGAGCAUGUGGUUUAAUUCGAUGCAACGCGAAGAACCUUACCUGGUCUUGACAUCCACGGAAGUUUUCAGAGAUGAGAAUGUGCCUUCGGGAACCGUGAGACAGGUGCUGCAUGGCUGUCGUCAGCUCGUGUUGUGAAAUGUUGGGUUAAGUCCCGCAACGAGCGCAAC
rnacentral:rRNA from 1 species